rnacentral:lncRNA from 1 species
CAGGCUGGCUUCCAGCACUGGGAGAUUCGCCUUAAUUUCCACAUCCACCCUGCCCCUGACUCUUAGGAUCUGUUUUGCAGACGAACAAACAGGAGCUCAGGGCUGGCGACCCAAAUCCCAUCACUUGCGCUUCGGGGAUCCAGCCCGGCCCCACUUGUCGCCCUUGGGCUUUGUGGCCUCUCCCUGCCUCGUGCCCUUCCCAGAGCCUCCUCACCUCCCUGGCCUGCGAGUCCUUCCUUCAUUAAAUGGGACGGUGAAGGGGGAAAUAUACCCAAGUUGUACGCCAAUGUCCAUAGCAGAAUUAUUCACAAUCAGCAAAGCUGGAAACAACCCAGGAACCAUCAGCAGAGGAAUGGAUAAAGGAAAUGAAAGGAAAUGGGCUGGAUACACACGUUGGAGUCUUAGCCACAGAGAGGAAUGAAGUUCUGACACAUUCUACAACAUGGAGAAGCCUGGAGAACCUCUACCAGGCAAAAGAAGCCAGGGACAAAGAACAAAUGCUUCAUGAGUCCAUUUAUAUGGGGCACCUGGAGCAGGGCAGUUCGAGGACAUAGAAGACAGAGUGGAGGUUACCAGUGCCUCAGGGAAUGGGGGCAGUUGGGAGCUCUUCCUUGAAUAGGUACUGAGUUUCUGCUAAGGGUAUUGAAACGUUUUGGAAAUACUGUUGCUGUAACGGUGUAAAUGUAGUUAACACGACUGAAUUCUGCACUUAAAAAUGGUUAAAAUGCAGCCAGGCGUGGUGAUGCACACCUGUAUUCCCAGCACUCUGGGAGGCUGAGGCAGGAGGAUUGCAAGUUCAAACCCAGCCUGGGCAGCUUAGUGAGACUGUCUCAAAAUAAAGAAUCAAAAAAGGCUGGGGAUGUAGCUUAGUGUGAAGGUCCUGGGUUCAAUCCUCAGUACUGCAUUUAAAAAGGAAAGAAAUUCAGAGGCCCCGAGGGAGCCUCCCGUCGUCACUCAGGGCCACAGCGAACCCUGGGUUUCCAGUCUCCAGCACUGUGAGACAAGAAAUCUGCUGCAUCAGCCUCCAAGUUUGAGGUCCUUUGUUAGAGUCUAGCGAACGAUCUCACUCCCAGAGAAAGCUGCUCUGCCUGUCUUCUGUGUCCACCAGGGUCAUCAAACAAGGGUCUUGCCAACUUGGCCAGGCUGGGCUUGAAGUUGGGCUCUUCCUGCCUUCUCCCAGAGUGCUGAGAUUGCUGAGAUUACAGGGCUCAACAGUCCCAAGGCCUGGAUGGUUCUCCUAGCAGCUGGACUCCCUGGAAUGGUUGAUUUGUUGGCCCGGUCACCAGAUAUCCUGGGACGGUGAAGAUGAGAGGAUAUGGCUCUAGGGAGCUCUUCCAGUGUUUGCCUAGGGCUGAAAAAGGAAAAUUGCACCAGGCAGUGAAGUCAGCAUGGAAGACUAUUUUUAAGACUACUGCAAUUGAGGGAUUGAAUUCGGGACCUUGUGCUUUCGAGGCAGGUGCUGGAACCACUGAGCUAAAUCCCCGGCCCCCGCCAUGAUGUUUCUGCCUCACCACGGGCUCAGAAGCAAUGAAGCCAGGUGACCAUGGACUGAAACCUCUGAAACCAUGAGCCAAAAUAAAUCUUUCCCCCUUUGCAUUGUUAUUUUCAAGUGUUUUGUCACCUGACUAACACGGGGAUCACAAGUGAGGGGAUUCUUGCUUACCUUGCUCAGCAGCCUGACAAACCAAUAAGGAGGUCUGGCUCAGAAGACUCAAGUAAAAUCUGGCUGAAGAGGGAGGGAGUCCUUGUCAGCCCCUGCCUCAUUCUACAUGCAAGACGCUGGGACUGUGUCUGUUUGCUCCUGGGAUCCCUGGCCUCCUGGACUGUGAGCUUAGGCCAGUGAUAUCUCUUUAUUUUGCAUAGUGCUGACUGUAGGUGAGUCCUUAAAGGCUGCUCACUCCCUAACACUUUGGGAGACAAAAUUGCAUUGUAGUUAAGAGCACAGGCUGGGCCGGGGAUUUAGCUUAGUGGUUCCGCAGCCUGCCUCGCAAG